rnacentral:rRNA from 1 species
UACAGAGGUCUCAACCGUUGUUCGGAUUCAUUGGGCGUAAAGGGUGCGUAGGCGGUCGUGCAAGUCGGAUGUGAAAUCUCAGGGCUCAACCCUGAAACUGCAUUCGAUACUGCGCGGCUAGAGUGCUGGAGGGGAGACUGGAAUUUACGGUGUAGCAGUGAAAUGCGUAGAUAUCGUAAGGAAGACCAGUGGCGAAGGCGGCUCACUGGCUCGGUACUGACGCUGAGGUGCGAAAGCGUGGGGAGCGAACAGG